AUGCCGACUCUUCUUCUGACCUUGUUGUUGAGCCUGAACGUAGCGUUGGCCUCGUCGGCGUUCUCCUACCAGGGCUUUGCCACGGCGAACCUUACCCUAGACGGUCUCGCCGUCGUCAUGCCCAACGGCCUCCUCGCUCUCACCAACUUCACUUCCCAGCAAAAAGGCCACGCCUUCCACCCAGCCCCGCUCCGCUUCCUCAACACGACGGCGAGCUCCACGGCCGUAGCGCGCUCCUUCUCCGCAUCCUUCGUGUUCGCCAUCGUGUCCGUCGUCGAUGGCCUGAGCGACCAGGGCCUCGCCUUCGUGGUCGCCCCGACCUCCGACCUCUCAUCGGCCAACGGCGGACAGUACCUAGGCCUCCUCAACGCAACCAACGGCACCGCGAGCGACCACAUCUUGGCGGUGGAGCUCGACACCAUCUGGAACCCCGAGCUGAGCGACAUCAACAGCAACCACGUUGGCAUCAACGUCAACAGCCUCAUCUCGCGGCAGGCCAAGCCCGCCGGCUACUACGCCGACGACGACGGCAUGGCCUUCCGAGACCUGAUGCUGAAUAGCCGCAGGCCAAUGCAGGUGUGGGUGGACUACGACGGCCAGGGCAGGCGACUCAAUGUGACAUUAGCUCCCGUGCAAGCUCCGAAGCCCAAGAAUCCCUUGCUCUCUGAAGCCAUUGACCUCUCCACUAUCGUGGCGGACACGAUGUAUGCUGGCUUCUCAUCGUCGUCGGGCGUGGUGUCCACGCACCACUACGUCCUUGGAUGGAGCUUCAGCUUCGACGGACCUGCUCCACCGCUCGACUUCUCGAAGCUGCCCAGCCUGCCGCAUGUGGGUCCCAAACCUCCGUCCAAGAUCUUGUACAUCGCUCUACCAUUAGCUAUCAUGUUGCUCAUCGCUGCGGUGUCGGCUGUAGCGUUCAUCCUGUGGCGCCGGCGUCGGUUUGCAGAGGUGCGCGAAGAUUGGGAGGAAGAUUUCGGCCCACACCGAUUCGCAUACAAAGACUUGUUCCAUGCCACCGACGGGUUCAAGAACAGAAAUGUACUCGGUGUUGGAGGGUUUGGAAAAGUAUACAAAGGGGUACUUCCUGUAUCUAAUUUGGAGAUCGCCGUCAAGAGAGUGUCACAUGACUCAAGGCAAGGAAUACGGGAAUUCAUUGCCGAAGUGGUGAGCAUCGGUCGUCUCCGGCAUCGAAAUCUUGCACAGCUGCUAGGCUAUUGCCGGCGCAAUGGUGAACUUCUAUUAGUGUAUGACUACAUGGCAAAUGGCAGCCUUGACAAGUACCUGCACAAUAAGAAUGGGCCAGCUCUAUGUUGGCCUCAAAGGUACUGGAUUGUCAAAGGUAUCGCAUCAAGCUUAUUGUAUUUACACGAGGAUUGGGAGCAAGUCGUCAUCCACCGAGAUAUAAAAGCAAGCAAUGUGCUGCUGGAUAGGGAGAUGAACGGGCGGCUCGGAGACUUUGGUUUAGCAAGGUUAUACGACCAUGGUACAGAUGCUCAAACAACACAUGUCGUUGGUACCAUGGGAUACCUCGCGCCAGAACUUAUGCGCACGGGGAAGGCAACACCCACAACCGAUGUAUUUGCAUUUGGUGUGUUUCUCCUAGAGGUCGUCUGUGGACGCAGGCCAAUCGGGAGUGACGAGCAUAAUAACCCGGUGGUGUUGGUCGACUGGGUGCUUGAGCACCACCGCAAUGGCUCAAUCAUCGAUACGGUGGAUUCCCGGCUUGAGGGGAAAUUCAACAUGGAAGAGGUUAGUAUCGUACUCAGACUAGGUUUGUUGUGCGCGCACCCAUUGCCCAACACAAGGCCUAGCAUGCGAAAGGUCAUGCAAUAUCUGGACGGUGACCAAAUCGCCCCUCAUUUGGCUCCGACCUUCAUGAGCUACAACGAGAUGGCCUUGAUGCAGAGCGAAGGGUUCGAUUCAUACAUCACGCCGUGCCCUCCACUGGCGGCGGGCAUUUGCAGCGGAUCUGGUGAGUCCUUGGUGACAGUUCUAUUCGAUGGGAGAUGA
rnacentral:rRNA from 1 species